CUGUCCAAGCGUGGCAUCCUGAUCUCCCUGUGGCCUCCACGAGUGGGCAGGGGUCCCCUGCCCUGUGGUGCUCACCAUGCCUCCUCAACCCCAAUCAGGUUGUCAGAUGAGAAGGGAGAGCAUGCCAGGGUCCCAGGGAGACUGGUUUGGUCAGAGGCUCAGCCCCUAAACCCCUUGUCACCUCCUGGCAAGAGACCAGAGACCUGGCUGAGAUAACAGGGUUAUUGCCGUAAACAGAGUCCUCCAGAUAAAGAGAGAAGAAUAAGAACCUUGUUUGUCCUCCCCUGGCCCAACACCCAGUAGCAUUCUAUCUCCCAGAUGGCUGGGCUGCAGUGCCCCAGGGCUGACCUGACUUCAGAGCUGCCGCUUGAUGCCCACCCUCCUCUGGCCCACUUCCCACUUCCCGCUCCUGACCCCACCGGCGUAUCUGUUUAUUUUUCCCUUGAGAGUUUAUGUAUUUUCCCAGAGGAUGCAGCGUGGUGUAGGAGAAAGGGGAUGGGAGUCCACAGCAGAUCUGAGUUUGGAUCUCUGGGAUCCAGUCCUCUGGGCAGGCUGCUUACCUUGGGGGUGACCCACUGUCCUGAUUUGCCUGGGACUAAAGGGGUUCCCAAUACAUGGGACUUUCAGUUUUAGAACUGGGACAGUGCCAAGAAACUGGGGAUGAGCUGGUCGCUCUGUUUACGUCUCUGAACCUCAAUUUGCUCUUAUCUAAAGCCAGGAUAGUUACUCUGUGUCGGAGGCCGACAUGGGAUAAUGCAGGGAAGCAUCGAGCACAUGGAGACGGCUGUGUGACAGGCGCUGGGCUGGGCGGCCACCAGGGAAUCAGGGGAAGUCACAAAGGGUUAAAUAGGCCAAUGGCUUUUCCUAUGUGUCCCCGGAUUCCCCUCCUCCCCACUUUGGAGCUUACUGCUUAAUACCAUGGGGUGCAUGAAGGGAUGUUCCAGAGGGUCAUCAGCCACAUUUGAAGCGAGCAGCUACCAGACUGGAUAGUGCAGCCCUGCCUCCAACACAUUCAUCUUACCCAUGGGCAACCGAGGUCCAAGGAGGGCGUGGCCUGCCCAAGGUCACUGAGCAGAGUGUGACCAGGACCCAGGUCCCCUGACUCCGUCAGAACUGUUCUGCUCCACUUCACUGCCUGCCCUAUUUUCAUCAGGACAGCAAGCAGUGACCCAAGAAGCUGCAGUUUCAGAAGUGGAGUCAGAAGGCACAGCCUAACAUAUGCCUGCUCAGACAGUAAACUUCUUAGCGUUUCUUUACUUUAUGUGAAUCUUGUCUGUGACCAGUCUCCACCACCGGAUGAUGUGUAGAAAGAGUGCAUAAACGACUUUAGCAAGCA